rnacentral:rRNA from 1 species
UACGUAGGUGGCAAGCGUUGUCCGGAUUUACUGGGCGUAAAGGGCGUGCAGGCGGUCUGUUAAGUCUAGGGUGAAAGCUCCCCGGCUCAACUGGGAGAGGUCCUUGGAUACUGGCGGACUUGAGGGAGGCAGAGGAAAGUGGAAUUCCCGGUGUAGUGGUGAUAUGCGUAGAUAUCGGGAGGAACACCAGUGGCGAAGGCGGCUUUCUGGGCCUUACCUGACGCUGAGACGCGAAAGCGUGGGGAGCGAACCGG